GGAUCCGUGGCUCAGCAUGGAUAGAGCGUCUGCCUUCGGAGCAGAAUGUCGUGGGUUCAAAUCCCUCCGGAUCCG
rnacentral:tRNA from 1 species